rnacentral:lncRNA from 1 species
ACCCAUCCAUCCAUCCUUCACUCACUCAUUUGCAAACAUGUAUUGAACUCCUAUUGUACCAGGCACUGUGCUAAUUGGAAGGCUCAAUAAAGUGAAUCUGGGGAGGACCAGGAUACAUCACUGCCAGGGAUGACAGAGAAUAAAGUGCUGUGAUAGGGACAUGGGGCAUCCGAUGCCUGACAAGAGAGGGACUGACUCUACCUGGACAAAGAGUGACCUCUGGCCUUGUGUGUGCCUUGCCAUUGUUUCCUCUACAAAAGUGGGUCAUCUGACCUGAUUUUUUCAGUUAAUUUUAUGAGUAUUUCCCCAUGACCAUUAAUAUUUAAAAUGGCCUUUUAAGAGACAGCCUUCCCAUUGUCUUUUGUGGGAUUGCACUACUGAGCGACCCGUCUCCAACCUGUAUUGGCAAAAGCUACGGACGAGAGAGGCCUCAUGGAGAAGUGCAAAGGGAGAGGCCUUGGGGUCUGACCUGGCUCCCAAGAGCUCAGAUUCCGGGUAGUCUCCUUUCCUCCCCCUUGUUCCUCCCCUUGGACCCCCUUUCACUCUUUCAGUCUGAACCUUAACAGAAGGAUUCAGCCCGCCUAGGCGCUGGGCCCCACUUGCUGUGACCCGUCAUUGUUUCUGCAUGGCAACCAGGGAGCGCCUGCUCCCUGCCAAGCCCAGCGAUCAGGACCAGAGUAUGUGCAGUUCUGACCUGUGUUCUCCCCUCCCCUGGCAGAGAGAAGCUCAGUGACUGUCCUUGCGUCAUUUGAGCAGAGCCCACAAAAGGCAGCUGCUGCCCACGGGGAGCCUGUCAAACGAGGGCCCAGUGGGCAAUGUGAGCUGAAGUUCCUUGACCACAACAAGCCUACCAAACCCCACUGGCUUUCCCCCAACCACUGCAGGCUACAAGUCCCCCAGUGACCCUGACGUGCAGUGAGUCUUCCUGAACCCUGUCCCUGAAGCAGCCAUCACGUGGGGUAUGGAUUCAAUUUUAUUUGCUCGCAGGUGUCUAAUUGGCCCGGCACCACUGCCUUUGGAUGCCGCUUGUGUCUGAGUCUACAUCAUUUGUCAGAGUUUUAUGUAUCUUUUUUCUGAGGUAGUAAUAGUCAUCCUCUGGACAAGAUCCUAGAGCCUGGAAAGUUCCAACCUGAAAGUCUGUAUCCAGGGACAGGACCCUGUUGGGCAGGAUGACAACGAGGGAGUUUCUAGAGUGGGCGUUCACCCUGGAGGGGCCCUUGGAGAUCAAGGAGUUCAGCGUCCUUGUUCCAUACCCAAGGACACGUGGGCUUGGAGAGUUCAUAUGAAUUGCAGCCAUCUUCUCCACGGGAGGGAACACCGUCUCUGAGGCUGCUCAUCUGUCCUGGAGCCCUAAGCAGGUGUCUGUGGGAGGGCACUGGCUGCUUCUCCCUGCAGUUCUUCCUUCUAUACCUGUGUCUCGUGGCUUUCCUGCCCGCCUCAGAGGAGGAUAUCUGGGGCAUAUCAGGUAUACACAGUCACCCACGUUCAGACUAUGAAGGGCGUGGCCACUGCACGCAGGACCAGAGAACGGAUUUGGACACGUCUGUAAAUAAGCCGCAGGUUCACAGCACAGUGCCUUUCAAGGGAAGCACUGUAAGCUCACUGAGCAAGGGACCCAAGAGUCAAACCCUGCAACGUCACCCUGAGGGGGACCGGGAAACAUUGUGUAGGGCGGUGACCCCAACUGGAUGGUCAGACCCAGUGUGGCCUCUGCCGUGGGGGUUCAGCUGCGUGUUUCUCGGUCUGGAGGCCCCAGCAGGGCCUACGCAAGCUGUGGGGAGGAGGCUCCCCUGCUGGGGAUUCUUUGACAGGGUGUUGGGUGUCAGAGGCCCAGGGCCAGAGCACCAGGGGCCCCAGUGGGAGGAGCCAGGUGUAGGGAUGCCACCAACCAGCCCAGCAGCAACUGCAGGAGGCCCGCGGAGCCUAAGUUAAGGUAGUGUGGAAACAUCUCGGAAGUCACCUCGGGAGCCUGGAUGGAACAUGCCAUGUUCUGAUUCAGUGGAUCUGCUGUCUGAGACUCUGCAUUUCCAACAAGCUCCCAGGAGUUGCUGGUGCCGCUGGGCUAGGAAGCACAUCUUAAAGAGUGACACUUUUAGGCUACUUUUUUUUUCUACACCCUACUUCCAGCUUCUGAUUUCUAGCCCUGGAGGUGUAGGCCACAGCCCUGAGUAGCCCCUGCCCUACCUGCUUCUCUCCAGGGUUCCCCAGCCCUCCACUCUUCUCCCAGGGUCAUUCACAUCAUCUUUGAUUCGGGGUUUUCUCUGUCCCCCAAUCCCCCUCUCUUCUGCAGCACCUCUCAGAUAACCCCUGUAUUAAAAUCACAGUGACCAGACACACAUGCCCUGGCUGGGGGAUCACACAUGCGAACCUGCAGACAAUUCCAGAUACCCAAGGCCAGGAAGGCCCACGUGAGGAUGUCACUCACCCUGGAGGAGACUUGGAUGGGGUGGCAAAUUUCUAUUUGGAGGAAGAGGGUUUCCAGGAUGGCAGAUGCCAGAAGAUGGUCCUGAUGUCUGAGGAAGGGCCACCUAGUUUGACAGGAUGCAGCCAACAGGUGAAAAAACAGCUUUAUUCCGAAAGAAAAUGGUCUAGUCAUUGAGGAGGACGGAGUGUAUCCUGCAGGGCCUGCCUGGUCUUGCAGGACAGAUUGGCAGAGAGGAAGUCUUGCCAUGAUGUCCUGCCUGUCAAGUGUGAUGGCAGGAAGAGGCUUCUGGCAUGGAAACAACUGAUUUCAUAGAGAACCCGCAGCUGGAUUCAAGUUCAACCCAGAAAAAUAGACAAUGCUGCUGGCAGUACCAGCCUGGGACACCAUAAUCCAAGUUCACAGCUUGAGUUUCCCUGGAUCAACCUGACAACAUGAAGCUAAGUUCCAAGUCCAUGGAGGAUGGACUUUCAUCAAAUUCAAAGAAAAAAAAAAGAUUCCACUGGGAUUUAAUUCAGAUUGCAUUUCACCGAAAAAUUACAAGGAUUAACAACAAGGAUUAAUAGCAUUGCUGCAUUCAUUAUGGCAACCCAAGGUUAUGUCUCUCUAUUGACUAUUCUCUUUAAUUAAUCUGUGUAAAAAGUUUGCAUUUUUAAUAUAGGUCUUGGAUAUUUCUUAUUAGUGUUCUUUAUAUUUUUUUCCAAUACUCUUAAGAAUGCAUUUUUCUCCCUAUAUUUUCUGCUUGUUGUUAGAAUAGAAACAGUAUUUAUUUUGGAGAUUUUUGUAUUUUUAUCUUGUAUCUGACCCCUUCCCUAAUUUUUAUGAAUACUAAGAAUUUUACAGUCAGUACUUUUAUAUUAUCUUGGUGCAUAAUCAUAAUGUAGUCUGUAAGUAACAAACAUUUUGUUUCCUUCUUUCUAUUGUAGAGUUUGAGAAGUCGUCAGUGUGUAGUCCUGUUACCUUAAUUGUUUCUGAGUUAUGGGUUGAAUUUAUUUUGAAAUUUCAAAAAACUUCAAAGGGUAGUAUGUUAUUUUUGUGUUAAUCAAAAUGAACAAUGGGUUUCAAAAGCUUGAACAACGUCAUCUUGGGAGUGCCAAAUGAAUAGGAUGUCCUGUAUGUCAGGAGCAUGCCCACACUUUUCUUGCUAGGGUGAGUUUAUUGUCCCUGAUGAAUCCCAGGAGUACUAGUCCAUGAUGCUCUUAUUCCCUGGUGCUUUAACAUGCAGUGCAGCCGGAGUUGGCCUGAACUUUAGGAAAUGAGGUCGUAAGUCGAAAGAACAGGGAAUUGAGAAAGCACACAGAAGCAGCCAGGGCCAACAUUUUCCCCUAAACAAGCCAAUCAACAAAAAGCAAUGCCAAACAAGCCCCUUUGAAACUUUCAAAGUCCUCAUCCUAGUACCUUCCUAGCACUCUAGGAGACAUCUUUCAGCUGUUGAUUUAUGAACGCUGAGAGGCACGUGGAGGAAUUAAUGGAGGUAAAUAUCUAACUUAAAAAAUCUUCAGUAGGCAUUUUUAGACAAUCCUCCUUGAAAGAAAAGUGUGGAUGCUCUGUGCGUGUAUUGACUGCACCUGCAGGGGUAUAGCUGGAGAACACCCAGUGAGCAUCUUCAGGAGCCAAGUCACGCAGGGGCUUAGCUCUCAGUCCAUUGCGACAGUUGCCAUGAUGCCUUCUGACCAUUAAACACUUUGAACUCUUUUCUCUCAUCCUCUGUUAUUUGCUUUGGACCCAUAACAGACUCAUUAGUUAAAAAUAAGAAGCAAAGGUAAUCCUGAUGUUGAAUUACAAGUUAAUGCAGAGCACAGACAUGAAAAUAAUUCUAUGGGUUUGCUGCAGCAUAAUCCUUGCCAGAUCUCCAAGUUCCAUUCAUCUAAUGAAAAGCCUUAGUUUGAAGAACAUUUUGGAGAACUCUUACAUCAAGAGGUCUCCAGUACCUCAAAAACCAGUGUUCAAAAGGAAAAUGCACACGCGCAUUUCAGGGAGGUGGGAAUAAAAGCCUUCCUUUGCGCAGCGUGUUACAUGUGGAAAUGUGGAACGCACACGAUCAUUCUUACUGUUAAAAAACCCCACAAAGAUUAUAAAAAUAUGUCAGUUUUUUUUUGGUGCAAAAACUCACACGAUUAAAAAUAUUAUACUAUGAAAGCAGCUUUGAUCUAUUCUUCAGUCAUUUCUGUGACGUGUGGUUAAAUUUAAUCUGUUUAAAUUUUUUAUUUGAUUCUUCCAAACCAAACACAAUAUCUCAUUUUAAAACGUAUCUGCUGACAGUGGUUUUUCUUCUCGCCUGAAUCAUGCUGAGAACAGGUGUAACCAGAUGUCCUCUUAGCCUACAAACACAUUUCAGAAAAUCAUUAUAAGAUGCUCAAUUAACUUUGAGCAAAGUAGUUUCCUGUAUCCUUCAAAGAAAGACAUGUUUUCAAAAUGUCACUGCAGUAAAUAAAAGUGUUGACAUGCUGUGUAGGGCUAUUAGUUAUGGGGCCAGAAUUCAAAAUAGCUGAUUGGAAGUAGGGCCAGUUGUCUAUCAAAGUAUUUCUAAUUUAUGGCAACGAAAUCAUGUUAUCUGCAUAGAACAGAACUCAGCUCUCCCUACUUCUCUGUGAUGGGGGAUCUAUACUGUAUCUGGCUCAUCUAAAAGUGGUUCCAAAUCACUAACAAAUAUGAAUGGGUGUUAGACUAUGCUCCUAUUCACCCCCACUGGAAAAUCUUAUCUGAUAAAAGACAGUUUUGAUGUCCUUUGCUUUGAUGUUAAAGUAUGGGCUUCCUGAAUACAUCAAUACAGGGGUCUGAACUGAUCUUAGUACAUUUCAAAGCAUUUCUUGUCAAUGGGAGUCAAAACUCAAUGCAAGCUACAGCCUCAUGUUAUUCCUAAAAGAUUUAUCUUUGGAGUAAUAAACAGUAAGCCAAUUGUCCUUAAGACCACUACACUUAAAUCCUUGGUUCUCGUAUACAACAUUAGCUCCAGACAGCUAUAACUGGAUGUAAUCAAGAAAGAAAUGGCAUUAAAAGUUAAAAAAAUUUAGAAUUAUAAAAGCAUGAAAAUAGCUGCUUACUAUAAAAAUGUUAAAUACGAGACUCUACAUAAUAAAAAGUGAAAGCUGUA